rnacentral:tRNA from 1 species
GGCCCCAUCGUCUAGUGGCCUAGGACGCAAGAUUCUCAUUCUUGUAACACGGGUUCGACUCCCGUUGGGGUCACCA